rnacentral:lncRNA from 1 species
AUGGCCAAGGGGCUUAUUUAAACUCUCAGUUCCCAAGGGCCAGGAAAGAUUGGGGUCGUUUUUUUAAAGAUGAGCUGUAAAUAUCAUAAUCAGGCAGCCUAUUGUGUUGACUAUGAAGAGGCAAAACUAUUACAAGGCUGAUAAAACCAUAGUUUCUUAAUGGCUACCAACAAGGCAAAUAUCACAAUAAGAAAUGCCAAAUUCUUUACGGUGACAACGUGAAUAAUUGGGGAGGGGGGGUUAGGGAUGGGAAGCAUCUCAAUAAUGCCAAUGUAAAAUUCACUUACAGCAAUAUUCACCAGCAGAAAAUGUCUUUCAUACGGAAUGAUUCAUGUUGCUAAGAAAAAAUUCAAUUUGUAGUCCUGAUUUGAAUAUUAGAAUGUUGGCUAUAAUAGUUCUGUUCUUACAACACAUGGAAUUUUUUUUGUUUUAUUUAAUUUUGUUUUCAUAGUGCAUGUUCAUUUCUACUCACAAACAUGUUCUUGGUGUAUUUCUUAUGCAAACAAUCUUCAGGCAGCAAAGAUGUCUGUUACAUCUAAACUUGAAUAAUAAAGUUUUACCACCAGUUAU